rnacentral:rRNA from 1 species
AACCUGCGGAAGGAUCAUUAAAGAAUAAACGGGCCUCCGGGCCCCCCUAUUCUCACCCUAUGUUUACCACACUUUGUUGCCUUGGCGCACUGCGCCAGCGGAUCAAAACCCUUGAAUCAUUGCUGUCUGAGUACUAUAUAAUAGUUAAAACUUUCAACAACGGAUCUCUUGGUUCUGGCAUCGAUGAAGAACGCAGCGAAAUGCGAUAAGUAAUGUGAAUUGCAGAAUUCAGUGAAUCAUCGAAUCUUUGAACGCACAUUGCGCCCUCUGGUAUUCCGGGGGGCAUGCCUGUUCGAGCGUCAUUACAACCCUCAAGCUCUGCUUGGUAUUGGGCUCGCCCUGUAGGGCUUGCCUCAAAGUCAGUGGCGGCUACCGUCCGACCUUCAGCGCAGUACUACUCGUCGCUGUUAGGGAGGGCCUACAACCCGCCAUCACAACCCCCACUUUACAAGGUUGACCUCGGAUCAGGUUAGGAAUACCCGCUGAACUUAAGCAUAUCUUUA